rnacentral:rRNA from 1 species
AUUGAACGCUAGCGGGAUGCUUUACACAUGCAAGUCGAACGGCAGCGCGGACUUCGGUCUGGCGGCGAGUGGCGAACGGGUGAGUAAUGUAUCGGAACGUGCCCAGUAGCGGGGGAUAACUACGCGAAAGCGUAGCCAAUACCGCAUACGCCCUACGGGGGAAAGCAGGGGAUCGUAAGACCUUGCACUAUUGGAGCGGCCGAUAUCGGAUUAGCUAGUUGGUGAGGUAACGGCUCACCAAGGCGACGAUCCGUAGCUGGUUUGAGAGGACGACCAGCCACACUGGGACUGAGACACGGCCCAGACUCCUACGGGAGGCAGCAGUGGGGAAUUUUGGACAAUGGGGGCAACCCUGAUCCAGCCAUCCCGCGUGUGCGAUGAAGGCCUUCGGGUUGUAAAGCACUUUUGGCAGGAAAGAAACGUCGCGGGCUAAUACCCCGUGGAACUGACGGUACCUGCAGAAUAAGCACCGGCUAACUACGUG